CUCCGGGCGGCGGGCAGCGGGCGGCUCAGCAGCCGGGACCCGUCUCUUCCUCUGCUUCCUCCUUCCCCGCGGGAUGCCCGUCUCCUCCUAACCAAGCCGCUGCCCCUGCGGCGGCCACUCCUUCCAGCUUCACAGAAAUAUUGAAGCACCUACUUCAGGCAACCACAAAGGGUUGUGGAGGCUGUGCACUGCUCGAGGCUGCCUGGCCCAGGCGACGGUGUUAGCUCCAGGCCUGCGUCUUCUCCGAGGAAGGGUGAUUUUUGCUAACUUGCCCGACAGCUGUUGAGUGGUGGGCCCUCUCCUGGCUGAGGCCCUACUCUAGCUCACUGUUGAGUGAGAGAAUUAAAUUUAACAGAAUUUAUUGAGCA